rnacentral:lncRNA from 1 species
ACCAUUUUUCAGGUCCUUCAUGUGUUAUUAUCCUGCUAAAUGCUAUUCCACUUGGAGCGCAAGAAUUAUGCAAUGUAAAAUGGAAGAUUCACUAGUAACUAACCUGUGUAAAAAAUGAAAUGUCUUCCACGUGUAAAAAAACAAAAACAAAAAAAUGGAGUCCUGGAGGCUCCCUGACCAGGGAGACAAAGGGAGUAGCUUUCCACGUCUUAGCGGAGCAUGUGUUCCUUUCGCUUGACGUGACACGUACUCUGGUGACUAAUCACAUCGAAUGACAUACACAUGUCUUGAUAUUCAGUAUAAAUUCAGAUGCAUCC